UACGAAGGGGGCUAGCGUUGCUCGGAAUCACUGGGCGUAAAGGGUGCGUAGGCGGGUCUUUAAGUCAGGGGUGAAAUCCUGGAGCUCAACUCCAGAACUGCCUUUGAUACUGAGGAUCUUGAGUAUGGGAGAGGUGAGUGGAACUGCGAGUGUAGAGGUGAAAUUCGUAGAUAUCGGAAGGAACAUCAGUGGCGAAAGCGACUUCCUGGACCAGUACCGACGUCAGGCACGAAAGCGUGGGGAGCAAACAGG
rnacentral:rRNA from 1 species